AAUCCACAUGCCAGGCUGGCCUCACCGCUGUGGUUGGCUUUCACAAAGUGCAGCUUGAAGAUGUCCAUGUUUGGCUCUAUGAAAUAAUGUGAAGAUGUUUCAUGAUUGCAUAAAAACAAAUGCACCGCAGAGACCUCCCACCAACAUGGCAGCACGUUAUGGGAUCUAACAAGAACGGGGAAGCCAACUGACUUCAGAAGGAAACACCUGAAACACAAUGGACAACGCAGAUUUGAGGGGAGAUAAUGGGGUGCACAGUCUGUAUAACUGCUAACCCUGAUCUGACCUGAGGGAACAGCCUUCUCUCAACAACAGGCUUCUGCACAAACAGCUUCCCCUCAGGCCGACAAAGCAGCUUCAGAACCAAGAACCACAGAGGCUGAACAGAGAAGCUGAAUCAGGAAGAUAAAUCAAGGGGACGUCAACCAAAUGCUAUCUGGAACAAAAACUUCCAGACCUGGGCCUGCUCUGAACCAAAAGAACCGAUUGCAAGAACCUCAACAGCCAGCUGUACUUAAAAGCUGCGAUUUUCCUCAGUGGUGAGACCCCAAAGCUUCCAACCUAGCUCCCAGAGAGGGGCAAGGGGGAGGUGGUGACAGUGUAUAGGACUCCAAGGGUAGGAAGCUUGAAUAAAGUUUCUAUGAUUAAAACCCUUGCUUUAAAUUCCAAUAGUGUUUAAUCUGGCUAAUUGUGUAUUUAAUAUAAUUACUGUCUUCUGCAUGAUUCAUUGUGUUAAUUGCACGUUAAUUGCAUUUACCUUUAUUUCUUGUAUUAUACUUACCUUUUGUAUGGUAAAUAAACACAGAGAUCCUUUUUUCCUUGAAACAUCUAUUUACUGUCUUCUUCAUUUCACAUUCCCUAAAUAAAUCCAGUGUCAGAACCAGGCAUCUGGGGGUGAUUCAGACCACCUAAAAUUCAGCAGAUUACGAUAGAUAUUCGAGUACAAGUUGUUUGCAUGUAAAAGUCAACCCCUAUUUUUGACCAAAAAAUCUGGCAUUUUCCAUAUAUAUCAUGUAAACGUUGACCCUAGUUCUUCACAGAUUUUUAUUUUUCUUUAUUUGUUUCGAGAUCAAUUGGGUUUCUGCUAUUGAUACAGUAUUUUGGACUGUCGCAUGAAUUCCAGCCCCAUAAAAGUAGCAUCCGUGUAACAGUCAGUCCCGUAAAUUUAACCUUAA